rnacentral:rRNA from 1 species
UACGUAGGGUGCAAGCGUUAAUCGGAAUUAUUGGGCGUAAAGCGUGCGCAGGCGGCUUUGCAAGACAGAUGUGAAAUCCCCGGGCUUAACCUGGGAACUGCAUUUGUGACUGCAUGGCUAGAGUGCGGCAGAGGGGGAUGGAAUUCCGCGUGUAGCAGUGAAAUGCGUAGAUAUGCGGAGGAACACCGAUGGCGAAGGCAAUCCCCUGGGCCUGCACUGACGCUCAUGCACGAAAGCGUGGGGAGCAAACAGG